rnacentral:rRNA from 1 species
GAUGAACGCUGGCGGUAUGCCUAACACAUGCAAGUCGAACGGACUCUUCGGAGUUAGUGGCGGACGGGUGAGUAACGCGUGAGAAUCUGGCUUUGGGUUCGGGACAACCACUGGAAACGGUGGCUAAUACCGGAUGUGCCGAGAGGUAAAAGAGAAAUUGCCUGAAGAUGAGCUCGCGUCUGAUUAGCUAGUUGGUGAGGUAAAGGCUCACCAAGGCAGCGAUCAGUAGCUGGUCUGAGAGGAUGACCAGCCACACUGGGACUGAGACACGGCCCAGACUCCUACGGGAGGCAGCAGUGGGGAAUUUUCCGCAAUGGGCGAAAGCCUGACGGAGCAAUACCGCGUGAGGGAAGAAGGCUCUUGGGUUGUAAACCUCUUUUCUUAGGGAAGAACAAAAUGACGGUACCUAAGGAAUCAGCAUCGGCUAACUCCGUG